rnacentral:rRNA from 1 species
UGCAGUCGAGCGGCAGCGGGAAAGUAGCUUGCUACUUUUGCCGGCGAGCGGCGGACGGGUGAGUAAUGCCUGGGAAAUUGCCCAGUCGAGGGGGAUAACAGUUGGAAACGACUGCUAAUACCGCAUACGCCCUACGGGGGAAAGCAGGGGACCUUCGGGCCUUGCGCGAUUGGAUAUGCCCAGGUGGGAUUAGCUUGUUGGUGAGGUAAUGGCUCACCAAGGCGACGAUCCCUAGCUGGUCUGAGAGGAUGAUCAGCCACACUGGAACUGACACACGGUCCAGACUCCUACGGGAGGCAGCAGUGGGGAAUAUUGCACAAUGGGGGAAACCCUGAUGCAGCCAUGCCGCGUGUGUGAAGAAGGCCUUCGGGUUGUAAAGCACUUUCAGCGAGGAGGAAAGGUUGAUGCCUAAUACGUAUCAGCUGUGACGUUACUCGCAGAAGAAGCACCGGCUAACUCCGUGCCAGCAGCCGCGGUAAUACGGAGGGUGCAAGCGUUAAUCGGAAUUACUGGGCGUAAAGCGCACGCAGGCGGUUGGAUAAGUUAGAUGUGAAAGCCCCGGGCUCAACCUGGGAAUUGCAUUUAAAACUGUCCAGCUAGAGUCUUGUAGAGGGGGGUAGAAUUCCAGGUGUAAC